rnacentral:rRNA from 1 species
AUGCACGCUGGCGGCGUGCCUAAUACAUGCAAGUCGAGCGGACGGACGAGAAGCUUGCUUCUCUGAUGUUAGCGGCGGACGGGUGAGUAACACGUGGAUAACCUACCUAUAAGACUGGGAUAACUUCGGGAAACCGGAGCUAAUACCGGAUAAUAUUUUGCACCGCAUGGUUCAAAAGUGAAAGACGGUCUUGCUGUCACUUAUAGAUGGAUCCGCGCUGCAUUAGCUAGUUGGUAAGGUAACGGCUUACCAAGGCAACGAUGCAUAGCCGACCUGAGAGGGUGAUCGGCCACACUGGAACUGAGACACGGUCCAGACUCCUACGGGAGGCAGCAGUGGGGAAUCUUCCGCAAUGGGCGAAAGCCUGACGGAGCAACGCCGCGUGAGUGAUGAAGGUCUUCGGAUCGUAAAACUCUGUUAUUAGGGAAGAACAUAUGUGUAAGUAACUGUGCACAUCUUGACGGUACCUAAUCAGAAAGCCACGGCUAACUACGUG